ensembl:lncRNA
UGAAACUCCCUUCAUAAGACUAAUAAGCAACAGUUCACUUUCUCAAGAAAGGUAAGAUCUGGUUUGGAGCAAAGAACUUAAACAGCAGUGUCCAUGUAGAGGAAAUGAGAAGAGCCAUGGCAUGCUGACUGCAAUAGCAUCUCUUCUUUCUGUGUCAGACAUAAAAGAUGAGUGGCACUCUGCAACUUAAUGUCCAGGAGGGAGUCACCAAAACAACAGCUCUUUGUAAGAUUUGUAUUUGUGCAUUCACUCAAGACCAUCUCAGCCUGUCUUGGGGGAUGUAGUUUUCAGAUGUGAACAGUAUUUCAAGAAAUCCUUUGGGUUUAAAUUUCUCACGGAAGUGUGAAGAGAAAAAGAAUAUCAGGAAAUGAACAAAACUGGCAUAUGACAACUAACUUCAAUCAUGUAUGGACCUGUUUCAUGCCAGAAGGAGCUACAUAUACUGAGUCUAGGCCUGAUCAUCUUGAAUGCCAUCAUACAGCAAAGAAGGGACAAUUCAGUGGUCAGAACAAGUCAGCUUGUGUUUGUGAACGGAAAGUCCUGACUGACCAAAGUGUAUAACUGUUUCUCACGGAAUUCUCCUGAAUAAGAACUGGCUGCACAUAGCUUGGACAGGUGUACAGUUCUCUGGGCAAAGAAGUGGCUGAGUGGCCAGACUCAAAGAGUUCUAGCAAAUGGAGUUCAGUCCAGUUGGUAACUUGUCAUCAGUGGCAUUCCACAGGGCUCAAUCUUUAAGCCACUUUUGUUUAACAUUUUAAUCAAUGGUCAGAAUGAGAGAAUUGAGUACAUCCUCAGUAAGUUCACAGACUACAGUGAGUAAGUCAGGAUUGCUAAUAUUCCUUAGUGUAGGAAGUCUUUGCAGAGGGAUCUGGAUGGACUAGAUCAAUGGGCCAAAUCCAAUAAAAAUGACAUUCAACAAGGCUAAGUGUCAUGUGCUGCACUUGGGUAGCAACAAAACAACGAAGCUUGGGGAAGGCUGGUUCACACGUUGCUUGACAGAAAUAGUCCUGGAGGUGCUGGUCAACAACUUGCUGAAAAUGAGCCAGCAGGGUGCCAGGUUGCCAAGAAGGCCGAUGGGAUCUUCAUCUGUAUCAAAAAUAUACAAAAAAUAUCAAAAAUAGUGUGGCCAGCAGGAGCGAGGAGGUGAUCAUCUCUCUGUACUUGGCACUGGUAAGGCCACACCUCAAGUGCAGAGUAUGGUUUUGGGCUCCUCACUAUGGGAAAGACAUUGAGUUGCUCGGUUAUGUGGAGAACAACAAAGCUGACAAAAAGACUAUAAACAGCAGAAAUAUAUUGCAAUUUUCAGAAAGAAACAAUAAAAAUGCCUUUAUGAAACUUUAAUACAAGUGACUAAAAAGUGUAAAUACAAAUCAACAGAAUUUAAAAUGUAUUUAGGCAUGAUAAAUUAAGCACAGUUCUCAAUGAAAAUUAUACUACCUGUUCUGAGCAGAAAUCAACCAAAUAAAUUAACAGAUACCAAAUGAUGUGAGAAAUUGUAGUUAAAUACAGUUAAAGUGAGCUUGGUUAUAUUGUUGAAAAAAUUCAGUAAAUAUAACAGUACUUAUUUUUUACUUAAAUAUAUAUGUGUGUGUGUGUGUGCAUAGAAGUUUUCCAAACAGAUACCUUAUCUAAACAAAAAAAAUUAAGAGAGCAGAGUACUAUCUUUAUUUAAUAGGAUAAUAAUGGUUAUGAAAUACAUGUUGGCAAUUUCCUUUUUUCACAUGAGAAAUAGAAUCUUAGCUGUGUAGCUCCCAUGAGUCUUUCUGUUUUGUAUGUGAAGCUAUAAAAUACAAUAGGCUGCUCUUUACUGUGCAUGUUCCAUGACACUGACCGCAGACUAGCUGCACUAAGCUGACAUCUUAGGGUUGUGGGUUUUUUUCCUCUAUACUUCCGCCUUUGCUAGCCUUAUUGUGGUCUUCUCAUUUUUUUUAUUCUAACACUUAUUUCCACUGGAAUAAAAUCUGUCUUCUCAGUUCAGUAACAGCAACAGUCAUUGGAAGUAGAAAAAAGCAAUAUUGUUUUAAUCAAGUUUUUCAAAAAUAUAUCUUGAACUUUUCUUUGAGACCACUGUUUGUACAACUGAUAAUUUUUGUCUGUUAUUUUCCACUUCAACACUGAUACUUUGAAAGUGAAAAAC